GGGGAAUAUUGGACAAUGGGCGCAAGCCUGAUCCAGCCAUGCCGCGUGGGUGAAGAAGGCCUUCGGGUUGUAAAGCCCUUUUGUUGGGAAAGAAAAGCAGCCGGCCAAUACCCGGUUGUUCUGACGGUACCCAAAGAAUAAGCACCGGCUAACUUCGUGCCAGCAGCCGCGGUAAUACGAAGGGUGCAAGCGUUACUCGGAAUUACUGGGCGUAAAGCGUGCGUAGGUGGUGGUUUAAGUCCGUUGUGAAAGCCCUGGGCUCAACCUGGGAACUGCAGUGGAUACUGGAUCACUAGAGUGUGGCAGAGGGUAGUGGAAUUCCCGGUGUAGCAGUGAAAUGCGUAGAUAUAACGAGGAACUCCGAUUGCGUAGGCAGCUUACUAAGCCAUAACUGACGCUCAAGCACGAAAGCGUGGGGAUCAAACA
rnacentral:rRNA from 1 species